rnacentral:misc_RNA from 1 species
GCAUGGAAAGGGAUGUGUUAGAAAGGCAGAGUCCAUUUUUAGCAGAGCAAGUGAGCCCUCGCUCUCAACGCUCAAGAUCUGCUGGUGGAAUUGAUAGUCGUGGAGUUGGAGAAGAAAGUACAAAACGCAGGAGGAUUUCAUCUGCAAAACAAACUGCUGAAAGCUCAUCUUCCAAUGAUGAGACACUCUCAGCAUUGCCAUGUCUAGUAACGUUAAAUCCAGGGGUGAGGAUGGCUACUGUUGCUGCUGGUGGUCGCCACACUUUAGCAUUGUCAGAUAUAGGACAGGUGUGGGGUUGGGG